rnacentral:rRNA from 1 species
UACAGAGGGUGCAAGCGUUAAUCGGAAUUACUGGGCGUAAAGCGUGCGUAGACGGUUUAUGUAAGUCAGAUGUGAAAGCCCCGGGCUUAACCUGGGAAUGGCAUUUGAGACUGCAUAGCUAGGGUGCGGAAGAGGGAAGCGGGAAUUUCCGGUGUAGCGGUGAAAUGCGUAGAUAUCGGAAGGAACACCAGUGGCGAAAGGCGGCUUCCUGGUCCAGCACCGACGUCAGGCACGAAAGC